rnacentral:lncRNA from 1 species
AUGGCCAGAUGCUUUCCCUUGACAUGUCCCUUUCACUUUUCACCCAGCAUCCAUCAGACUGAGGCUGAGAUGUUUUGUCUUCUCUUCAGAUGGGCCUUUCCUAACCACCAUUUCCCCAUUGUUAUUGCCAGCAUUACACUUUCCCUCUGCCUCAGAGAACUUAACCCAGCCAUGAAACUCUCCACUUUAAGAGGAGCCAACUGCUCGUUACUUCUCUGA